UAGAUGAAUCAUAUAAUGCUACCGAGUAGUUUAAAUCUCUUACAAGUGUCUAGAAAAUUUCAAAAAAUUAAAAAAAUGGAUAUCCUCAAAAGUAACAUUGUACUGUUGACUAUUGCCGAUUGUGCCAUUGCAUUUUGCUUUUAAGUUGUUUUAUCUUGUACUUGUAGUUUCGCAUGUAUAUCUUAUUGUACCCUUCCGAUCUUCAAACAUUAGGGUAAUACUCCCUCCGUCCCUCUCAUUUCUUUACAGUUACUAUUUUGGGAUGUCCCUCUCAUUUCCUUACGUUACCAUAAAUAGUAAGUUUUUUCAUCAUUACACCCACUAUCUUCUCCCACUAUCUCAUAUUUAACAAUAAAAACUACUAUUACACCCACUACUUUCCUCCACUAUCUCAAAUCUAUUAUUAAAUAUUGAUGGGUCCCACCAUUUUACUCACUUUUCACCUAACUUUACUCAUUUUUCAUACAUUGUCUUGGUCUCCGUGUCCCCCUCCAAUGUAAACAAUUGAGGGGGACGGAGGGAGUAUUAAAGAUUGCUUAAAUGACUUCAAUAUCCCUAUAAUAUUUGCAAAACUUUUUCUUUCUGAAAAUGCAUGUUUUCACAUUAAGGUGUUCGGUACAAAAAAUCAUAUGUAAAAGCAUAAAUCCCACCACUUAAUUUUAAUGCUAUUCUCGAUAGUAACAUCGUACUACUUUUGACAUGGUACCAUUGCAUUUAGUAACAUUUUAGAGUUUUGCUAAUGUUUAAGACUUAAGUAAAGGAAGGGGUUUGCGAAUACAAAACCAUGAGCAAAAGGGUACCACAUGUAAGAGGGGAAAGGGCAGUCACGUCAUAGCAAAAGUCAAUAGGCCAACAGUACAAUUCAGAAUAUCACUUAAAAAGACCAAUCAUAUAUGUAACUUAACAAUCUGCUGAAGGUAUCACUGUAAUUUAAAA
rnacentral:lncRNA from 1 species